rnacentral:piRNA from 1 species
UGUUAGUAAAAAAAUUCGAGA